rnacentral:lncRNA from 1 species
CUGCAACUUCCACCUCCCAGGCUCCAGUGAUUCUCCUGCCUCAGCCUCAAGGGUAGCUGAGAUUACAGGCUGGAGUGCAGUGGCAUGAUCUCACCUCACUGAGAACCUCCACCUCCAGGGUUCAAGUGAUUCUGCUACCUCAACCUCCCAAAUAGCUGGGACUACAGGGUCUCAUUCUGUCACCCAGGUUGGAGUGCAGUGGCAACAUCAUAGCUCACUGCAGCCUUGAACCCCUGGGCUCAAGUGAUCCUCCUGCUUCAGCCUCCUGAGUAGCUGGGGCUACAGGCACUUUCCCUACAUUUUCAAAGGCCUGCAUCAUCACAUCUGCCACAGCAUUCUCUAUCAUUGAGGCAUUUUCUCAGGAAAUCACCUGUGAAAUAUUUUGCAGCUAACCACCUACCUGUGCCCCACCAGCCAACAUGCUUUACUCCUGCCAGGCAGCAGUCUCCUGUGGUCCCACUGUGAGGAGUGAGGAAAGCCAGUAAAACAGCAUGAAAAGAGAAGAGAGGAACACAGGGCCUAACUGUGAACUAAAACUGCUCCAAGAGAGAACAAGUCCACCCUAGAGGUGGAUUACCACACCUUUCCUCUUUCCCCUCCAGCCUACUUUUCCUUUUUAAACAAUGAGGCUCUCAAACUCAUCUUUGGGGAAAGCCACUGGCCUCUUUCUGUGGCAUGUCCUCAACUGUGGCAAAAUAAACAUCUAAAUUGGUACUUGACUCUGAUACUUUUUGGUUUACAUGUAGUUGGAGAAGAAAAACAGUGAAAUUUCUUCCUCUGACGGCAGUUGAAAGUGAAAGGAAAAUAAAAACGUUGGAACCCAAACCACUCUGCCAAAAGAAAAAUAUUAAGCUGAAAGCUGAUUCAUCCAAGAAGCUACCUUUCCUUUUGUUCCUAAGCGGAGAACUACAGAUAGGUUAAGUAAGGGUAAGUAUCUCUGCCGGGCGCGGUGGCUCACGCCUGUAAUCCUAGCACUUUGGGAGGCUGAGGCGGGCCUCCUCCUCGUGGUCAGGAGAUUGAGACCGUCC